rnacentral:rRNA from 1 species
GAUCCUGGCUCAGAUUGAACGCUGGCGGCAGGCCUAACACAUGCAAGUCGAACGGUAACAGGAAGCAGCUUGCUGCUUUGCUGACGAGUGGCGGACGGGUGAGUAAUGUCUGGGAAACUGCCUGAUGGAGGGGGAUAACUACUGGAAACGGUAGCUAAUACCGCAUAACGUCGCAAGACCAAAGAGGGGGACCUUCGGGCCUCUUGCCAUCGGAUGUGCCCAGAUGGGAUUAGCUUGUUGGG